CAUUUUAUUUGAUCACCAGUCGGAAGCAGUGACAACUACGUGAUGAUCAUUUUCCUUUGGCCGGCCUGAAGUGCGUUGGCGUUGAGCUAAUGUCAGCAGACAUCACCCGGUACUUGCGCGCUAUUUGCACAGUUUGAAGCCAGGUUGAUUUGCGCUGAAACGUGAGCGCGUUGAAAUAAUCACAAAGCGUAUCCUGGUUGGGAAACCCUGUAUCCGACACGUGUUCACGGAAUAUGUCAGCUCUGCAGCAGCAUGGGUAAAUAUUAAAUGUUCGCUGGGUAAAAUGUAAGGAAACCUGUG